rnacentral:lncRNA from 1 species
AGAUGAUAGGCUGAUCUGCUGGGAGAGAUUCUAAUAAAGCAGUAACUCCAGUGGCCUGGUUUUUAUUAGUGAGCAGUCUGACCAGAUGAGCCAUCCCUGGCCUCUUUGAUUCUCUUCCAGCAAAGAGUGAAGUUAUCCAAGACUCGAAGGACAGAAUUCCUGAUUUGGGGAGGCCUCUCCAUCGUCGACGUGCUGACUUACCGACUGAUCCAUGAAGAGUGUACUGUGGACACAGUUCCCUGAACCAAAUCCGUUAUCCCCACCCACGCUAAGG